rnacentral:rRNA from 1 species
UUAGCAUAUCAAUAAGCGGAGGAAAAGAAACCAACAGGGAUUGCCCCAGUAACGGCGAGUGAAGCGGCAACAGCUCAAAUUUGAAAUCUGGCCCCCUCGGGGCCCGAGUUGUAAUUUGCAGAGGGAGCUUUUGGCGUCGGUCGUGGUCUAAGUUCCUUGGAACAGGACGUCACAGAGGGUGAGAAUCCCGUACGUGGCCGCCGGCCUUCGCCUUGUAAAGCCCCUUCGACGAGUCGAGUUGUUUGGGAAUGCAGCUCUAAAUGGGAGGUAAAUUCCUUCUAAAGCUAAAUACCCGCCAGAGACCGAUAGCGCACAAGUAGAGUGAUCGAAAGAUGAAAAGCACUUUGGAAAGAGAGUGAAAAAGCACGUGAAAUUGUUGAAAGGGAAGCGCUUGCGGCUAGACGUGCCCGCGGUUGAUCAUCCAGGCUCCGGCCUGGUGCACUCCUCCGCGGGCAGGCCAGCAUCAGUUCGGGCGGUCGGAUAAAGGCCUCUGUCACGUACCACCCCUCGGGGUGGCCUUAUAGGGGAGGCGCAACACGGCCAGCCCGGACUGAGGUUCCGCGCAUCUGCUAGGAUGCUGGCGUAAUAGCAGCAAGCGGCCCGUCUUGAAACACGGACCAAGGAGUCUAACAUCUAUGCGAGUGUUUGGGUGUCAAGCCCGAGCGCGCAAUGAAAGUGAACGGAGGUGGGAACCCUCACGGGUGCACCAUCGACCGAUCCUGAUGUCUUCGGAUGGAUUUGAGUAAGAGCAUAGCUGUUGGGACCCGAAAGAUGGUGAACUAUGCCUGAAUAGGGUGAAGCCAGAGGAAACUCUGGUGGAGGCUCGCAGCGGUUCUGACGUGCAAAUCGAUCGUCAAAUUUGGGCAUAGGGG